rnacentral:rRNA from 1 species
AUGCAAACACUACGCCUCAAGAUGCCAUCUUGCUCAACACCUUUCUUCUACCUCUUCUGCCUACUGCUUGCGCCGUGCCUUCUUCUCUUGGAAGAAGCACAUGCGGCGCACCAUGGAGGGGUCUCAAUGAGGUCUCAGCACAUGGCCCUCCUCCGCUGGAAGGCUACACUUGCAAGCCCACCGCCCCAGAUGACCUCCUGGCGGGAAAACACCAGCCCGUGCAACUGGACGGGCAUCAUGUGCUCGGCCAUUCGCCAUGGCCGCCGCAUGCCCCGAGUGGUGACCAACAUCUCCCUGCCGAAUGCUAGCAUCAUUGGCAAGCUUGGUGAGCUCAACUUCUCGGCUCUUCCAUUCUUCACAUACAUCGACCUUACUAACAACAGUCUCCAUGGUGCAAUACCCGCUAGUAUCAGCUCCUUGUCAGCACUUUCGAAACUUUACCUUUCCUACAACCAGCUCACUGGGAAAAUCCCCUAUGAGAUUGGUGACCUGCAAAGUCUUGAGCAGCUUGGUCUCGCAUUUAACAGACUCACAGGACAUAUCCCAGCGUCUCUGGGUAACCUAACAAUGUUAACUAGUCUUUUCAUUCACCAAACCAUGCUAUCAGGCUCCAUUCCUGGCGAGGUUGGAAGGCUUGUCAACCUGCAAAUCCUACAGCUAAGCAACAGCAACUUAAGCGGCAUGAUACCAAAAACCCUUGGAAAUCUGACCCAACUAAAUACUUUGUACCUCUAUGAUAAUCAACUUUCAGGGCCUAUACCCCAGGAACUAGGCGGGCUAGUGCAUUUGCAAAGACUUGACCUUAGUUCAAAUAGUUUUUCAGGUCCAAUUCCAAUCUCCAUAACCAAUCUCACUAAGAUGAAUGAGCUUUUUCUCGAAGAAAAUCAAAUCACAGGCCCAAUACCUUCAGAACUAGGCAACCUCGCUAUGCUAAAUCAACUUGGUCUCUACAAAAAUCAAAUAAUAGGUUCAAUGCCCCCGGAGCUAGGCAACCUCACUAUGCUCAAUGAACUUGCUCUAUAUACAAAUAAAAUCACAGGUUCGAUACCUUUACAGGUGGGAAAUCUGAUGAAUCUCCAAGAGUUGGACUUGUCCAACAACCAAAUAUCUGGCUCAAUUCCUGGCAGCUUAGGAAAUAUAACCAAGCUUGAAGUGCUACACCUCUUUGAAAAUCUGAUAACCGGUUCCAUUCCCGAGGAAAUUGGCAAUCUGAUGAAUCUCAAACAUUUAGACUUGUAUCAGAACCAAAUUUUGGGAUCAAUACCAAAAACUUUUGGGAAGUUGAAAAGCAUCCAACAGCUGUACAUCUACGAUAACAAAUUAUCAGGUUCCCUUCCUCAAGAAUUUGGAGAUCUCAUAGGCCUUGUCGAACUUGGGCUAUCUAACAACUCACUCUCAGGGCCUUUACCUGCAAAUAUAUGUUCAGGUGGCAGACUUCAACUUCUUAGUGUUGAUUCUAAUAUGUUCAAUAGCCCCAUUCCAAGUAGUUUAAAGACAUGUACGAGUUUGGUUCGACUUCACCUUGAGUCAAACCAACUAACAGGCGAUAUAUCUCAGCAUUUUGGUGUGUACCCACAACUCAAAAAGAUGGGCUUAUCAUCGAAUAGGCUCUCUGGGAAAAUCUCACCGAACCUAGGUGCAUGUACCCAACUAACGACACUAAAUCUAGCAAAUAAUAUGAUCAAUGGUUCCAUACCUCCAACGCUUUCUAAAUUGUCCAACCUAGUAGUACUAUCACUCCAGUCUAAUGAUCUCAGUGGUGAGAUUCCACCAAAAAUCUGUAGUUUAGCAAAUCUCUAUAAAAUGAACAUAUCAUCAAACCAAUUAUCUGGAUCCAUACCUACACAAAUAAAAAAGCUAAGCAAUCUAGGAGUCCUUGAUAUAUCUGGGAACAGACUGAGUGGAUUGAUACCUGAGGAACUAGGGGCAUGCACGAAACUACAGUCCCUGAAGAUCAACAACAACAACUUCAGUGGGAGUUUGCCCAGUGCGAUUGGAAAUUUAGCAGUCCUGCAAAUCAUGUUAGAUGUGAGCAACAAUAACCUCAGUGGUGUGUUGCCACGGCAACUUGGGAACCUGCAGAUGCUAGAAUUUCUGAAUUUAUCACAUAAUCAGUUCAAUGGCAGCAUUCCAUCCUCCUUUGCAAGCAUGGUGAGCCUUUCAACACUCGAUGUGUCCUAUAAUGACUUGGAAGGACUGAUCCCAACAACACGGCUACUCCAAAAUGCUUCAGCAAGUUGGUUUCUUCCGAAUAAAGGUCUGUGUGGUAACCUCUCUAGCCUGCCACCUUGUUAUUCAACCCAAGUAUCUGGUAAUCAUAAACGGAAGAUGGUUGGUUUGCUUUUGUCAAUUCUUCUUGUGGUGGGUUUCAGCAUUGUUGUUGCCAUUGUUGUCAAAAUAAUGCUUAAUCGUAACAUGAGAAAACCUCAAGAAAGUGUUACUACUGAAGGAAGGGACCUAUUCUACGUUUGGAAUUUUGAUGGAAGAUUAGUAUUUGACGACAUUGUAAGGGCAACAGAAGACUUCGACGAUAAGUACAUCGUUGGAACAGGAGGAUACGGCAAAGUCUAUAAGGGUCAACUCCAAGACGGGCAACUAGUUGCUGUGAAGAAGCUUCAUCAGACUGAAGAAGAGUUGGAUGAUGAAAGAAGAUUUCGAAGUGAAAUGGAAAUCUUAUCACAGAUCCGACAACGAAGCAUUGUCAAAAUGUAUGGAUUCUGCUCCCAUCCAGUGUAUAAGUUUCUAGUCUACGACUACAUUCAGCAGGGAAGCCUCCACGGAAUAUUGGAAAAUCAGGAGCUAGCAAAGGAAUUAGAUUGGAAGAAGAGAAUUGCUCUUGCAACUGAUGUGGCUCAAGCAAUAUCUUAUUUGCAUCAUGAAUGCAGUCCACCUAUAAUCCAUCGAGAUAUCACCAGCAACAACAUCUUGCUUGAUACAACCUUCAAGGCUUUUGUCUCGGAUUUCGGCACAGCAAGGAUUCUUAAGCCCGAUUCAUCAAACUGGAGUGCACUAGCAGGGACGUAUGGCUACAUAGCUCCUGAACUCUCGUACACAUCUGCUGUGACGGAGAAAUGUGAUGUCUAUAGCUUUGGUGUGGUUGUGCUAGAGCUAGUGAUGGGGAAGCAUCCAAGGGAUCUGUUAGACGGUAGUUUUUCGAGUGGGGAACAAGCUAUGCCGGUGAAAGAUAUUCUAGACCAACGGCCGAGAACACCAACAACAACAGAAGCGAAUAGCUUAGCUGUGCUCAUCGAACUGGCCUUUUCUUGCUUGGAAUCUUCUCCACGAGCAAGGCCAACCAUGCGGGAGGCAUACCAAACACUCAUCCAGCGACCCUCUUCUAGUUCCUGCCCUGUGCCUUUUGACUCGCUUACAUUACAGCAAGGGAGUGAUGCAUGUUGA